GACGAACGCUGGCGGCGUGCUUAACACAUGCAAGUCGGACGGAAAGGCCCUGCUUUUGUGGGGUGCUCGAGUGGCGAACGGGUGAGUAACACGUGAGUAACCUGCCCUUGACUUUGGGAUAACUUCAGGAAACUGGGGCUAAUACCGGAUAGGAGCUCCUGCUGCAUGGUGGGGGUUGGAAAGUUUCGGCGGUUGGGGAUGGACUCGCGGCUUAUCAGCUUGUUGGUGGGGUAGUGGCUUACCAAGGCUUUGACGGGUAGCCGGCCUGAGAGGGUGACCGGCCACAUUGGGACUGAGAUACGGCCCAGACUCCUACGGGAGGCAGCAGUGGGGAAUAUUGCACAAUGGGCGGAAGCCUGAUGCAGCAACGCCGCGUGCGGAAUGACGGCCUUCGGGUUGUAAACCGCUUUCGCCUGUGACGAAGCGUGAGUGACGGUAAUGGGUAAAGAAGCACCGGCUAACUACGUG
rnacentral:rRNA from 1 species